UGAAUAUUCAUUGGAAGGACUGAUGCUGAAGCUGAAACACCAAUACUUUGGUCACCUGAUGUGAAGGACUGACUCCUUGGGAAAGACCCUGAUGGCAAAGAUUGAAGGCAGGAGGAGAAAGGGACAACAGAGGAUGAGAUUGUUGGAUGGCAUCACAGACUCAAUGGACAUGAGUUUGAGCAAGUUCUGGGAGUAGAUGAUGGACAGGGAAGACUGGCGUGCUGCAAUCCAUGGGGGUCGCAAAAAGUUGGACACGACUGAGCAACUGAACUGAACUGAACUGAAAGUGUAUAUAUAUGUGUGUACUUUGCUCUACAUCUGAAACUAAUACAGAAUUGUAAAUCAACUAUACUUCAGUUAAAAAAAUAAUUAAUAAACUCUUCGAUUGCCACAGCUUCAAGUUUGGUACAACAUACACAAAAAGCACUCGAACUUUCUGGUGGCCUUCACUGAGUUUCUGUCAUUCUUUCCCUCCUUCUGCUCCGUGCUGUCCCACACUCAGGGACUGGAAGGUUUGGAUCAUUUUUGAAGUGGAUGAGGGAAGAGACUGAGAAAGAAAAUAAUUGAAGAAGGCAGGACCAGUGAGCUUCUGGAAGGAGAAAAUCUCGAGUUUGCCAAGAGUCUCCCCUACUGGGCUGAUGACACCUAUUAAAACUCCAAAAAGGAAAAUCCUCCAGAGGUCAGGCAGCAGGCGUUUCAGUCCCAGGUCCCACUGUUUCUCAAUCUGAACUGAGUCUGGCAACGGCGCACCAGGGUUCCAGGUGCCUGAAGGAACAUGAAUUGUUUUGCAACUUUAAAG
ensembl:lncRNA